UCUCAAUACUUGGCCACCAAUAACCAAGAGAGAGAUGGUACCUUCUACAAGGAUCGAGUCUCCUAAGAAUCCAAUUAAAGGAGAAUUGAUCCUCCUCAAUUGGUUUGAAGGUAGAUUUAUCUUAUAGGCAUCAUAAAAUAAGAUACCACCAAGCUUCCACUAUCUGCUAAACUUCUUUGUAUAUCAUAAUUUAUAACAUAUAGUUAAGGAAACCACCACAACAUCGCCAUGAGGGGUCC
rnacentral:lncRNA from 1 species